CCACCCGCCCGUCACGCCAUGGAAGUGGUGAGCGCCCGAAGUCCGUGUCGGAACCCGCAAGGGCCAAGCGGCCGAGGCGAGCAUCAUGACUGGGGGCGA
rnacentral:rRNA from 1 species